rnacentral:rRNA from 1 species
CGUGUAGGCGGAGCGGCAAGUCAGAUGUGAAAUUCCAGGGCUUAACCUUGGGGCUGCAUUUGAUACGUGUAGACUAGAGUGUGAGAGAGGGUUGUGGAAUUCCCAGUGUAGAGGUGAAAUUCGUAGAUAUUGGGAAGAACACCGGUGGCGAAGGCGGCAACCUGGCUCAUUACUGACGCUAAGGCGCGAAAGCGUGGGGAGCAAACAGGAUUAGAUACCCCUGUA